UCGCUCCUGGCACUGCCCAGGACAGGUCUGCUCUCCACAGUUUUCUGUGAAAUGGGUCUGAGUCACCAAAUGGGGCUAGUGGGGAAAAGAAGGGGAAAUGAUAGAAGGAGAAUCUUUAAAUCACUAUGAAGAAAAAGAUGGGUGUCAGGAAGGACAUGGAUGCAUGGAGGACAGAGAAAGAAAGAAUUACUGAAACAUUAUUGAGAAAGAUAAUCUGGAAAAACCUUUAUCCAUGGCACAAAAGAAGAGUGCUUUCAGGACCGAGUGUGGGUAAAUGGCCACAGUAUUGGAUGUCACAUCCACAUUCAAAUCCAAAUUAUACACCUGUUUUGUCAGCUUGGGUUAAACAAACCAAGAUGAUUGAACAAUCCCCUCUUGGUGAUGUGCUCAGGGUUUCUGUUGCUGAGACUGUCACCUGCUGGCCAGGGAGCAGCUCACCAGGAUCUCGGGAACAGCCUCAGAAACCGAUGGAUUAAAUACUCAGGUGACGCCUGGCUGUUUGAGGUCAGAAGCCUUUUCAUCUUCUUCAUGGAGCUCACCAUGAGGGAGAGGUUUAGGUGUUCCUAAUUCAAAGGUCUGCACCUUUCCCCCCCUGUCUUUGGUGCAGGAUGCCACUGCUGUCACACUUUGGGAGGCAAUGAAAGGCCAGAGACACUCACUUGUCAGGAUGCUUUUAUAGGAGCCACUGCCCUGCUGACAAGAGGCAGCUCAAAUGUGUUCCCUCCUGCCUCCUGGGCAGGACUUUGGGCCCUUUCUCUGCCUCCCCUGUGCUAUGGAAGGGCAGGUCGUCCUCACUGCAGCCAGCUGGAAAACUGGAGAGUCUGAGACUCACAGUGAGACAGCACUCAGUGCCACCAGACACAGCCAGACCAGUGGGGCUAUGGAUUAAAUCAUCAUUAGCAAAGCUACCUAGCAAGCACAGCUGCAGAAAUGUGGCCCUUUUCCUCCCCCUCCCUUUGGCCAGCUGAUGUUCCUCCCACAUGGUGCAGAGGGAUUUUGUUUUGUUCAGGUUCAGGCUGCAAAUCUGGCUGAUAUUGGAA